AUCGUAUUUCGGCUGAAAUUAACACAUACAGGAAGAGAGCGGAGAGGGCAGAAACCAAACUGUCCAAGUUUCAGAAGAUGAUUGAGGAAGCUCAGGACAAAAAUGAGACUACACUACAGGUGUCAAAGUUACUGGAAAUUCUGUCCAGUAGUCACAGGUUUAGAGCUGUGGCAGAUGUGGUCGUAGGAGUGGAGGCCAAGAAGCAAGAAAGCCUUGGACAGAAAACUUCACAGGCCUGUAGUAUCCAGUAACAGUGCAUCACACAGAGGGGGUGGGGAGGGGUAGGCAGAGAGCCCCAAAGGUCUAUGUUUUUAAACCGUGUUAGUAAGAUAAAUUUGUGAUAUCAACUGGUAACAUUUGACACGUGGAGUGAAAAUUGGACAAUCUUAUGUUAUGGCCUUGCUCAAUGUGAUGAGUUGACUACUACAAAAUUACACCGAGUACACAUGUCCUAACUUCAUUUGACUAAUCUAAUUCAGCAGGUAAACUCAACAGUGGCAUUCACUGUGAACGCUUAAGGAAAAUAUUAUGGUUAUCAACCUGGCCCCACUUUCACAAAACUUCAGUUUUUUGUAACUUUUCUAGUGAAUGACGUCACCUUGUGGCACUGUAAUGUAGACAUCUUUUCAUGAAAAAUGUUACAAGAAAUAUGACUUAAAGUUUUGUAAGAGUGGGCCAGACUUUCUUUCUUUGACAGCUACUCAACAGGGCCUCGAUCUACAAAGCUGUUACUACUGGCAACAUUUGUCUUGAACUUCAGUUGCUAUCAUGCUUACAACUGACAACCACAUCUUCAAAUUAUUUUUAAUUUGUCAUCAGUCAUGAUAAAAAUGCCUCAGAAAUGUUAAUUAUUUUACUAGGGACAAAUUUCUGAAGAAAAAAAAUGUUAAAAAAUGUAAUGAAGGAGAAACAUUGCUGACAGGAGAAUACACAUUACCAUUACUGUCACUGUUCAGUCAGCCAUUAGCCGGUGGAUUAUCAUGUGUUAGAAUCCUGUUACACAGUUGAGGUGUGGAAAGGUACAUAAAACAAAUCUGAUUAGGUUGGCGUCUUGGGGCCAAGUGUUAAAAGUGUAGUAAAAACUAAACCAGACAUUAGCCUUGAUUAAACCUUUGUGUUAGUCUAGGCCUGAUCCAUUACUAAUGGUACUUGGGUCCACACUUUUGUUACAUACCAGGCUUAACUUUUGAACAACUCUAUCCUGAUCACAAUUUCAAUGUUAACAUCUUGAAGGAGCUGUGAAAAAAUAAACACUGGUUUGUUUGUUCUAAAGUAUGUAUUAGAUUAAUUCUCUUGCAGAUUUCAAAUUAAAAUUUGGGCAGGGAACUGAACUGCUCCUAAUCCCCAAUCACACCUAUACUUCCAACCAAUUAGUGACAACACGCAACAACAUUUAACCCAUCACCAGCAUUUCGUGCGGCAGUCGGAAUCUUGCAGUUUCAUCAAUAGCAAUAUGGUGUAGGUUGCUCAGCCAUUUGUUACUGUGUAAAUUGUGAAGAAAUUCAGAAGAGCUCUAAGAGAUAUAACUCUGAUUGAAAAAGUUGGUUACAGAAAUUGGCAGAGAGGACUAUGGGAGUAGAAGUAGAUUACAGAUUACACAAGCGCAUUUAUUUUUCCUUACUGUUUAUGUAGUAAAUUUGUCAAGUUCAACCUCAAAAAUAUAUUUUCCCUAACAUUCGCGUGUUACAAUGCCAUAACACCACAAGCAGCUUGCACUUUUUUCUUCAUCAUAUCAAAAAACCAACCUGGCAUGAUCACCAUUUUUUUGAGCCAUGGAUGCUGAAAGUGAAGUCAUAGCAUUUGUUACCUUGGUAACCUUGAGAGGGGUGGGACGUAACACUGGCUAAAUAAAGGACUGACAUUGCAGAAAUUAAUAGCACAGCAACAUGUCUGUGUGGCAGUAGUAUCCAAUCAGUGCUCCUUCACUCUUCAGUACGGAGGCAAAUCUUGGACCCAGUUGCCUGAAUUGCACCUGUAACCUCUAGAAUGGCCAGGCGCACUAGGGGAGAUAACUUAGGGUGACCCUGGGAGCCAUUUUUCUGCAUUUAUUUGUCAUUAUAAAAUCAGUAGUGGAAAAUUAAUUACUUACACUGAAAAGCCAAAUUCAUAUUGAGGUGAAAUUGAUUUUUCAGAUUAACUGCUCCCUUGUUAUGGGUGUAUUAGGUAUUUUCAAUGGAAAAAAAAAAUCACUCAUCAGAUCAGAAAAGUUUUUUUUUUUGCAGAUUUGGAAAGGCUAUGAUGCGGUGCAAAUGGUAUUAGUACCUGGACUUGAUGGUAUUAGUGAUCAGCUUCUUCUGAAUUGAAUAUAUUGCAUAACUUCCACAUACAUGUAACUUGAUUUGUGUGUAUAAAAAAGGAAGUAGGGCAUUCCAUUCUAUUUUAUAAACAUUUCUGAACAUAUAUAUUUUUUUUUUACAUAUAAAAUGCCUUGACUCAUCUCAUUGCAUAACUAUACAGGCAUGGCAUUAUUAUUCUAAUCUAAAGAGUGUACAGUUGCCUAACCACUUUCGUUGAAAUGACGAUAAAGUAAAGUAAUGAUAAACCAUCCAUCAUGGCCAAUCAACAAAGAGGACCAUUCCUACCUCCAUGUCAGAAAAGUUCUUUGGAUCCCUUAUUUAUAUGUGCUGUUUUAAAUUUACAAAUUUUGACGCCUUUUAAUUUUGAAUGCGUAAAGAAAAAAAAAUUCAAUACACUGUUAUGUUGUGGAGUAAGUGUGAACACGUUGAAAAAUUAUUCACUGUUAGUUGACAUUAAUAUGAAGUCCUGUUGCUUGUACCAUAGUACAUAUAUGUACAGCAUAUGGUGUAUGUGCUUUAUGAGUCACAAACGGUUUUUUUUCUUUAAAAAGAUAAUUAUCUUUUGCUGUUUUUGUGGGGUUGUCAUUUUUCAUGGUGACAGUAUUGGUAUCAUUCAAUUUUUUUACAGUAUCGGUUACUGCUGUAAGCAGGUGUACAGGGAUGUGAUUUUUCAAUUAUGCACAAAUCCACUGUUUCAUAUUUGGAACAUAAACAAAGCCACAUGGUGUUGCGUGACAUUGGCAUAGCCAAAUUCUGCCUCCCCAAAUUACUCAACCUUUUCUCACAUAAAAGAGAAACUUUCAGUGCAAUUUAUAGACAUUUAAAGUUGAUUUUGGAAAACAAAACUACAACAGUUAGAUUGGCCAAUUUCAGGGCUUCAAAAAAAGUGUAUUUUUAUCAGUCUGCACAGGGUAAUGCCUUCAGAAUAAGCUUGAAGAAACAUUUAGCCAACAUGUGAAAAGGUUGAAGAAUUACAGUGCAAUGUAUUUUCAGCUUGCUGGGAGUUCACGUUCCAAAGAGUGACCUGCAUAGGGUGGUACUGUAAUUAGCCAAGAAUCUGA